rnacentral:misc_RNA from 1 species
UGGAGGAAAGACAAAGUGGUAAGAUUUGCGAGGUUCUGGCAAAAUGUGGAUUGGAAGGGCUGUACGAACGAUUUUUAUCGGAACAUAUAGGUGCCGAUGUGAUUUGUCAGCUAUCUGAUGCAGAAUUAGUUAGGCUGGGCGUCGAGACAAUUGGCCAACGAGCAAAUCUUAGGAAAUUUGUCCGCGAUCAAUCACGUGAAACAACUUUUUCGAAUUCGUCAUUCACAAGCAGCAGUACCAGGAGUGCUCUUGAAAUAGCCAACGAAAGGGCUACCCUUUUUAGUAGUUGUACAUGUAACCAAAGAUCCCGAUCUCAAGCACGGAACUUUGGAGGCUCAAGAGCUAGAGCGGCAAGAGGAAGAAGAAGUUUCAAAGAUAGAGAAUUAACUUUAAAAUGGCUAGUGUUUAGCAUCCAAAGAUCAAACUCGUAUUCCUACACCGUCUGAGAGGGAGACUUUAAACAAUGCUGGACUCGUGGGGAAAAAAACUAUAAAAUUAUGUAAAUCAGACAGUCCUGAUGAUGUCGAAAACAAACUUGUGUCUAAAAUCCUGGAUGAAAAUGGUGAACCAAAAGGCUUUCUUAAACUAAAGGAUGCAGGCGGCUUCUAACUUAUGAUAUCAACUCAAAGCUGUCGUGAUUUAAAAUAUAUCGAGUGCUUGUGGUCUGCAGAGAGUUUACAAAGAACCGUCAACUGUCAGACCUGUAUUUAUGUAAGGCCUGUGCAAAAUGAUUUAAAUGUAGACCCAAUACAUGUGCCAAAUAACGAAAGCAGUUAUAUGCUAACUCCCUGCAAUAUUUGUAAAAAAAACUUUCCAGUGAGAGUUCUUCGAGAGCAUGUUGAACAUUGUGGUAUCACAGUUGAUGAUCAGGAUUCCUCGGGCUCUGAGUUUCUGCCUGAAGUACAUGUAAGCCUAUCAAACCCACCACAAGGUGGUGCUGCUGACCACAAUGCUAAUGAUGUCCAUAGUGGUACUAGUAACCACCCUGCCUCUGAGUUUGGAGAAGCAGAAGAGUUUGAUUCUAUUCAGAGUGACACAGACAUUUCAUCUGAAGAUAUUCCAACACUUGGACCACCACCAAAUUUAGAUAUCACGUCAGUUGAAGAAACACUCAGCACACUUAUAUAGCAACACUCGCAUAAAAGAUUCAGUAAUAUCGGAUUUGAUGGAAUCAUCCAACUGCAUACAGAACAACAUAUCUAAUCCUGUGGAAAUUAUAUGUUUAAUUCAACAGAAAAUAGUAACUGGUCGUAAACUGGACAUUGAAGAGAAUUCAGUUCUUUUAGGAGGUGAUACCAACCACAUAUUGAUAGACUGCAGAGAUAGAGUAACGGAGUCCGCUCUGGAAGAAAUUGCAGCCAUUGAUGCUUUAAGAAUUAAUAUGCCUUGAAGUUCAGUUCUAUGGAGAAGUGUCAGUUGACUUGAGAGGCCCCAGAAAGGAGUUUUUCGUUUUAGUCCUCAACGAAUUAAAACAAAAGUAUUUUGACCCAGUCAGGGAGUGGUCUGGAGAAUACCAGACCAUUGGAAAGAUAAUGGGUAGCCUUGAGUUUACUCCAAAAUGGUAAGCUGCCACGCCUCUUGUCAUCUGAGUUGGUCGAAGAAGUUUUCAGUGAAAGCGAAAACUGCAAACAAUUUAUACUCGACAGCAGAAAGGGCCUUGAUGCAUUGGGUGUUUACACGCUUGCUUCAAAACUACCAACACUAGUUCAUGUAUUCACUCCUGGGGCUUCAACUCCUCUGUCAGUCAAGAAAUUGACCAACAUUUUGAGUCCAAUAUUAAGUGACAAUGGAUCAAACAAAAGGAGAUUGGAAGCAGCUGUGUAUGCUAAAUUUGUGAAAUACAUACGUGAAGUAGCAAGUGGGCAUAGAGGCGAUGUGACAUUGAACAGCAUACUUCAGUUCGUGACUGGGGCAGAUGAAGAACCCAUACUUGGUUAUCAGAUAAAACCAACUACAUUUUGCAUAUGCUGGUGUUAGUUUUCUCCCAACAUCAAACACCUGUAUAAACAAGUUGAUACUCAGUAUCCUAGAGAAAAUGGAGCUUCCUGAUGAUUCUAUUCUCCAUGGAUUGUUUGAUUAUGCAUUUUGUAAUUUCUACUUUGGACUAAAGUAAUCUAUGUUGUGAUUCUCAAGUUUUACAUGAUACAUUCUAAACCCCUGGAUGUGAGCUCCUGAUCACUUUGCUUUUAUUCAAUAUAUAAAUUGAAAUAUAUGUUGAAUCAUUUUGGCAUUAUUUUGCUGCUUUGUAUGUUGGACAUUUAAAUGAUAGUGAUUUCAGUGAUUGAACUGUUCUGUGAACUUAUAUAUAUAUUUAAGAUGAAAUUGAUUGGGCAUACAUUGAAACACAUCUAGUGUUGCCCUGGCCAUCAUUUCAUUAUAUUUUUCCGCUUAAUUUCUACUUCUCUUGUAAAUACAUGAACAAUGAACUGAAAUUUGUAGUUUGAUAAUACAAAUAAAUGAUUAAAUUUGGUGGCGGUCAAUUUGCCCUGAAUUUAAAAUAUUUCCAGAAAUUAUUUAAUCCUACUCUUUUACAGAGCUGUGUGGAUAUUGAAUUGAAAUGAGACAUCAGAAAAUCAAAAUGGUCAACAGACUGCUAUCUAAAAUUUUGGUAGAUAAAGUUUGUUAUUGCAAUUUUUCACAAAGUUAAAGUUCUUGAUUUUGAUAGUUUUAGAAUACCUGUUGGUUUCCCUUUGUCCUUAUUAGUUGUGGGCGGAUUUUUUUUUAUUAUUCUAUUGUUCAUUAAUGUUACAAAUUUAAUGUCUAUAACAUAGAAUUAAAAGCAAAUAAAUGCAAGACUGAAGGAUGGGAAAAAUAGAAUAUAAGGGGAAAUAAAAGAUCCAAUUAAGAUCAUACAAUGGUUGUCACCAAGAUCCUGAGAGAUAUCUUGUCUAGAGUUAAGAUUGGAUUUUAAGACUAGUUCACUUAUUUUCUCAGUAGUUGAUGGGGAUAUUUAUUAAACUGACAUUUGAGAAUUGUAGUCAGCCAUUGUUACAGCCAUCAAUUAAGUAAAAAAAAACAUGGAAGCCUGAAAAUUAAUUAAGGUAGUAAUGUUAAGAGUCAACACUAGUAAAAGCUUUAGACUUCUCAUAUUUAGUUGUUGGCAUGGCAAGGGAAUUUGCAUCACACUGACAUAAAGUUAUUGAACUAGAAAUAUUUUUAAAAGGAAAAUGUGAUAAUAUAAUCAUCAAAAAUAUUGUGAACAUUUAAGCUUCACAUUUACACUAGUCAUUAUAAGAAAUAUUGUAAUCAAUCUUCUUUUUUUUUUACUGCUUGCCUUGAUAGAAAAUCAACCCUUUUACUUUAAAUGUGAGUUGUUGGGAUGUCUUUGUGAUUUGUUGUCUGUAUGUCAGUAAACAAUCCUUAUGGCUAUUUCUGAAGUAAGUACUGGAAGGAUUUUUAGCCCACAAUUUGAUUUUGGGAUUGAUAAAAAAGUAACAUGGCUGAGAGGCGGCAAUCUUGGAUUUUGCCAAUAAAAAAUUGUUAUGGCUAUAAUUUCUUCAGUAGUACUGGAUGGAUCUUUCACAGAUUUCAUAUGUAGGUUUCCCAUGCUCCCUAGUUGUGCUGGAUUUAUGGACUUUCACAUAAAAAAAGAAAAAUUACAGACAGGCACCCAUCUUCGAUUUGACAGUUGAAGAAUAAUUUCACUCUUUCUUUAGGGAAAUUUUCAAAUUUCAUAUCAUUGUAAUCAAUCAAAGGUAGGCAUAAAGAUCCCUCUGGGAUCUUUUGUUCUCAAAUCUCAUAUGUAGGUUCUCCUUGGUCCAUAGUUGUGCAAAUUUUGUGACUAAUUGGAAAACAAAAUGGCCAACAGGAAGCCAUUUUGAAUUUUCACAGCUGAAGUUUAUUAUACCCAAAUUUAUUUGUUGAAAAAAUCAUGAAACUUUGUGUAUACAAUUUGUAAUACAUGUACUAAGACAACUUGCAGUGUAUGUACCAAAUACAGGGUCUGCAACCUUUUUAAUUACAGAGUUAUUGCCCUUUGUUAAAAUUUUGGUAUGGAGCAUAACUUUGCCCCAAACGCUUAAGCAAGGAUCACAAAACUUUACUUGGUAAAACAUUAUUCUUUCCUCUUCCAAACUCUUCAUUUUAACAUAUUUUAACAGAUAUGUGUUAUUGAUAUGACCAACUACAAAAUUCACAGAUAGAAAAAGCCUCCUAUAAAGUUGAUUUCAGGGAGCAUUCAUCAAUUCCACCGAUACACUUGUCUUGAGAAAGUAAUUGAUGGAUUAAUUAUGUCUCUCUGCAAAUGAAGGGAGAUAUUUUGUAUAAGUACUGGUUCUUCUUCUUUUUUCUUCUUCUGGUUCUUCUAAUCUGAUUUGUCCGGGCCAUAACUU